rnacentral:rRNA from 1 species
UACGUAGGGGCCGAGCGUUGUCCGGAGUUAUUGGGCGUAAAGCGCGCGCAGGCGGCCUCGCGCGCCCGACGUGAAAGCCCCCCGGCUUAACCGGGGAGGGUCGUUGGGGACGGCGGGGCUUGAGGGCGGGAGAGGGUGGUGGAAUUCCCGGUGUAGUGGUGAAAUGCGUAGAGAUCGGGAGGAACACCCGUGGCGAAGGCGGCCACCUGGGCCGACCCUGACGCUGAGGCGCGAAGGCGUGGGGAGCGAACGGG